CAGUCGCCGCGGUAAUACGUAGGUGGCAAGCGUUGUCCGGAAUUAUUGGGCGUAAAGGGCUCGCAGGCGGUUUCUUAAGUCUGAUGUGAAAGCCCCCGGCUCAACCGGGGAGGGUCAUUGGAAACUGGGAAACUUGAGUGCAGAAGAGGAGAGUGGAAUUCCACGUGUAGCGGUGAAAUGCGUAGAGAUGUGGAGGAACACCUGUGGCGGAGGCGACUCUCUGGUCUGUAACUGACGCUGAGGAGCGAAAGCGUGGGGAGCGAACAGGAUUAGAUACCCGCGUAGUCCCUGUCUCUUAUAC
rnacentral:rRNA from 1 species